rnacentral:misc_RNA from 1 species
AUCAACGAACACGUACACGACCCCACAGACGGGACCUCCACACCGUGGCCGAAGAGCGUGGGCAAACGUGUCUACACAGAGCCUUGCCCCGACAACGCUCCGGAAGCCCCACCACGCGCGCUGCGAGGCUUUCACAGUAGCCUUGCGUCUGCGCUGGUCACCGCUUCUGCUCUUGUUUUCCUUUUUGCUAUCAUGACCGCACUGGAUGCUGCCGCUGACGAUGCGGCGCCUUCGUUGGAGAACGUGGCCGCUGCCGGGGCAACACUGUGGCCGACAGAGACAUUUCUGCACUUCUCGUCUUUUAGGGAUGCGUACAGCGCAUGGCAUGAACACGGCGACUUCUUCCGCUGGCUGCAGUCGAGUGACUAUGCGGUGGCGCUGCUGGCGGCGUCCAAUUUGCAUCCUCUCCACUUCACGGUGAGGGCGCCGGCAACAACGCCAACGGCACACUCUCCCAACGCCACGGAAACACCCGCUGUACACCUGGUGCUGUGCGCACCGUGCUGCAACACUACCGUCGUUCUGUCGGAAGAGGAGCGGCUAGCGCUGGCCAAGUUGGCACGUAUCCUUCCAUUCCAUGUGGGCCCGAGCGGUGUAGCGACCCCGAACGAGCACUCCACCGCGAUACUGGCGCACGCUACGCAGCUAGAGCGACAGCAUCGGAUCACGGCUGGCUUGCUGGCGCGCGCUCACCGAGAGGGCUGUGCCUGGCGCGACCGACAUACUACUGGCGAGCAGGGCGUCGCAACCGACGAGGCCACGGUCUCCUGUGCUCGCCAACUCCUGCUAGGGAGCCCGUCGCUGAGUAUCAUGGAGUCCGCGACGGUUCGCGCCUUUUGUGCCGCGGUGAUACUUCGCCCACCAGAUGCUGAAGCGGCCACUAGCACAGCAGCUCGGACACGCUGCCUGCUUCCACGAGGAACCCCGCCUAGCGUGGUGCGGCAGUGUAUGGAGGACACGCUGGCCGUUCUGGACCCCGCCUCGUCUGGGGUCAACUGCGCAGCUGGCACCGUUGUGCCCAGACUGCGGUACACGGGAAGCAACGUGAAUGAUCGUAUUCUGCAGCUCUUUUUCGCUCCAAAGAAGCGCCCUCGGCCAGAGCCGAGCAGCGGCGCCGCUUGCUCUGAGACUGGCGUGAACGGGGAGGUGGUGCUGCAGUACAUGGCAUUGCUGAUGAUACUCUACGGGUACACGGUGGCUGCUACGGGUGACGUGCAAUCGGUGGAGGCAGAGAACUCCGACGGUGACGCGGCCGACUUGGAGCAUGCGGAAUGCGCCGCUCGUGCAGGAACCUUCCGACCUUCUCGCUGGGGAGCACCGCCAUGGAAGAGCCCACCGACGAUCCUAUCCUCCGCAGACGAGGAGGAAGGGAACAGACGCGUGCACAAGGAGACAUCGACGCAGUCGGAGAUGGUUUCUUUCGCGGACGCGAUGAUGCUCCUUGGAUGGCAUGUGCGGUGCCAGUUCUGCGCCCACAGCCCUGCUGUGGUGGCCGUGCGCGAGAUUGUCACGACAGCCACGACAACCACAAUCGCGACAACCGGGACAGCUGAGGCUUUGGACACUGCUGCUUGCGCUUUUGGUCGCUCAACUGCAGACGUAUCCCGCGACGAAACGCAGAGUUUUGUUGACGAAGAUGUUGAUCUGCGGCAACCGCAGCAACGGGCAGGGACUUCGGUGGGGUCCAGUAGUGGCGAUGGCGUUGGGGGCGGCAACGAAGACGUCCUUGAUGCCCUUGCGGAGGUGGAGGCAGCGAUUCUCAGCGCCAACCGCAGUCGGCACUCCGGCGAGGUCAAGGACGAGGCUGCCGUUGUCGCCGCUGCACUUGUGAACGGUUCAGCGGAUCAGAGUGACGGAGCUAAGGACGGUGACGACAAGCUUGAGGCGUGCGCGUACUCACAGGGGUACGGGGAGGAAGACGCCGCGGUGAGCGCUACGCCGUCCUCGUCUGCCAGCCGAGGCAGCCGGGAUGGUCGCAGCGAAGAGGAGGUGCGCGUGAGCCUUGGGUUGGGCAGCGACAUCGCCUGCAAUGAAGAGAUGCCCACCGAGGAGGAUUCAGAGGAAGCACUCGGUGAGCAGAGCACACACAUGCGCAGCGGUGUCGCACUCUCGCCGGUGGAGGCGACUACACUUCUGGGCACCGCUGAUGCUGGCGCCGCCGCAGAGGCCUUUGCCUUCCCCUCAACGACUGUGACGACCAAGACGGUAACGAAGAUCGAAACGCGGUCUGUCACCACUAUUACAAUGACCUUUUCUCAGCGCCUAGCACUGCAGAAGGACACCCCGCAGCAGCAGCAGCAGCAAUGCAGUGACACCUCCAACAGCGGCCACCACGGCAACUGUCCAUGGCAUCGACUGUUUCUGACCGACGCCAUCGACGCAACGGCCCUCGCGGCACCGGAGCGCUUCAUGGACUUUACAUGGGUGGUGGGCGAGGAUGGCGACACACUACACGAAGAGAGGGUGGCGGACCGAAGUAACGCCGCGCCCACGUACGCGGCGACGUCUGAAGAUCGAGCUCAAUGCGGCACACACGAGACAGCGCGUGGCGUGGAUGCCGACGGUGAGGAGCUGCUCGCCCCACCUCAGCACCCCUUGCAGUCAGAGGGUGAGAGCGACGUCUGCGAGGCCUCCGAAAAGAACUCGAAUCGCACUCUUCUCGUCUUACGCUUUUUGCUUCCUGAAGUGGAGCGCCUCAUCACGACGUGGCGACUCAGCGAGGAGUGGGAGCGCACGCGGCCGGACGAGUACCUGCGACACCCCCUAUGGCGCACAUGGCUAACGUCGCAGACGCUGCACCCGGUGCAUACGGAGAACGCCGACGGCAUGAUGGAGCAGUACUUGCGCGUUCUCGAGCGUCGACUAAUGCCGUUGCAGAGCACAGCAGAGGAGACAGGCGCGCCCGAAAAGAGCCCCGCCGCGGCGGCCGGCGGCAAGGGCAAUGACAGCAGCGUGAAGAACAAAGCAGCAGCAAAGACGAUGGAGGCCGCGAAGUGGGAAGCGCUAGGGACUUUGGAGGAGCUUGGGGCCACGAUUGGCGCCCCUCUCUACAGCGUCAACGCCAGCUCAUUCAACCGAACCGUGGAGAGUGCCUUGCACUUGGCUACUCGCUCGCUGCACCGCUGCUUUGCGGGCGACCAGGCAGCAGCUGCGGCAGGCGGAAGAGCGAACUCCGCUGAUGCGCGCGCGUUACUGCGUGAGGGACUUCGAUCGGUGCUGCGGGCUUCGGGCCCCUCGGCAGCCCAAAGCGUCGCUGGCAGCAGCGGAGGGGAACUAAAAGUUGCCUUCUCCGCGGCGGACAACGAAGAGUCGCGAGGAAAGGAGGCAGCUGAGGCAGCGCGGGCCUUCUUGAAAACGAUGGAGGCGCGCUACGCCGACGAUGUCGUUCGUGAAGGCAGCUGUAGCGCAUCACGGCUUCGACUCGCGCUGCAGCGCGAAGCCAUUCCUCACGGUUUGCACGAAUUCACGACCUUCAUAUACCCAACGUUGCAACGUCAAGCUGGCGACUGCUCCAUCUCUGUUGCUGAUCCAGUUUACGUCGUGAACACCGCCUCUGGCAGCACCAACGCCGCGCCAUCCCAUACCCCCAGCGAUGUUGACCGCUGUCGUGUGAUGCAGUACCUACAAGGCAUGCAGCACACCGCGCAGGAGGAGCAGCUGCAGGUGCAGCACGAAAGGGAGAGGCGGGAGGAGGCACAGCGGCUUGCAGAUGCAAAGGCGGCGGCGGUAAGCUCCGCCCCAGCAGCCACUACUGCACCUUCCGCACCGGAGGCUCGCGUUCCGGCUACACAGAUGAGUGCAAACAAGAGACCUGCAAAGCAGCAGCAGCGACAGCAGCAACAGCAGCGGCAGCAGCACUCUCAUGACAGCAGAGACCCACAUUCCUCGGCGCAUCAGUCGCCAUUGCCGAACCAAAAGCAGCUCCGAUCAACGCACGAGGCGCCGGCACCGAGCCAAGGCACUUCAAUGGUGCCAGCGCCCGAUUCGACACCCACGUCAAGCAGCUCGGCCGUCUUUCAGGGGGUCGUGCGCCACAGCGGUGGUCCUCCGAUGCAACAGGUCAGGUAUGAUAACCCGCUGUGGGGCUCUCCGCAGCCCUUUUCACACGGCGCUUCAGGAGUGUCACCACCGCUUCAGCCGACACCAGUGCACCACCUCACUCACGGCAUGGCGGACAACAGCGCUGUGCCUCCUAUCCCUGCAUCGUUCAAAGCCCAGAGGGGCGACAGUAGGCUGUUCAUCCCGUCAGUCGACAGUAGCUUCUUUCCUCCGCCGAGUGUGGCGCCGGCCGGUGGCCAAGAGCCUAUUUUCCGCGACAGCGGCAUCGGCGGGGAAGCGCUCACUGGCUCUGGCUUUGUGAGCGAUGGCGGGCCCCUCUUCUCAGCUCUUCACCCCUUCGGGUGGUUGCCUUUUCCAUCAGGCCCCUCGGGAGGGGACGACACGGCUGUUUUGGAAACAAGCGUGUACGCCCACCCAUCUGCGGGCGCCCCGCCGCGCGGUCGUGCCGGCGGUCCUCCUCCACGCUCCGGCGACUCGGUUUGGGGCAGCCUCAACACGAGCAACCUUAGCAGCGGCAGCGGUGGCCCUGCAGAGGAUGUGCGUCUCUCCAAUUGGAGCAGCAGCUCGAUAUCGCAGGGGCCCGCGACCGGUGAUGGCGGUGGUGGUGCAGUUCUUGGCCCAAUUACAUCUUCUGUCCUUCUGCAAGAUAGCACCGGUGGUGGUAGCCGUAAUGUCGGCGGUUCCUCGGCGCCGAGUGUGCUCGGCACCUCAGCGCCGUCGUCCUUUACUGGACCGAAAGCACCCACGUCCGGCACGCAGCCUUUGCCGGCGUCGCGUGGCGGCGCUACCAACCGCGGCCGUGGUAGCGGUGGUGGGCGACAGAAUAUGCCGCUGCCGGCAUUGCACAGCCAGCCUUCCCCGAGAGUCAAAGCUGGUUCCUCUGUCCUUGGGGGUGGAGGACCGAAUGCGCACGCACCACCAGCUCGUGGUGGCUGCGGCGGUGCUGGGGGACGCAGCGGGCAAGGCCGAAAUCGCGGUGGCGGUGGCGGUGGUCAACGGCGCGGUGGUGGCGGCCGUGCUGGUGGCGGUGGCGGUGGCGGUUUUCGUCGAGGCGGCUAAAGAUGUCGCUAUUUCCUCAAGUGAUCAAAAGGCCGAGGCGGUGGCUCUCCGUCACCUCUAUCGGUAUGCGCGUAACAGAUGACUCCCACACGAGUGCACGUAUACUGAGUCGCUCUCCGGCACGGGCACAUGCAUGCCCGCAUGGGUACGCAGGAGGGCACUAACAUAGCGGCGAAUCCUUCCUGUGGAUGGGGACGGCAGCAACCCACUGAAGUAGGGUGAUGUAUGCACACCGGCGGUACCUGCGUGCAAAUGGCUUUUUGUGUUGGACGGCUACGGUUAUGCGCGCAACUGACGUUCCGUGCGACCGCGGCAGCAUGUCUUCUUCCCGAGCAGGCGUGCCCGCGUUCUCAGCCGUUUCUUUCUGACGCUGUUCCCUCGACAGCCCACAGUUGCCUUUACUACGCGCGCGUUCCUUUCGGUCUGCAAUUCCUUUUCCGAUAAACGUCUCCUACUUGUAAUCACGUACCCUGCUUCUUUGCCGUGCCCUUCCACGCGCUCUCUCUCACCAUAUGUGCCCACCAG